ensembl:lncRNA LOC102552779 uncharacterized LOC102552779
GAGAGGGCGUGGCGAGGGAAGCAGAGGAGCGCAACAGAGGAAGUCCACCUGGGAUGAUAUCCAACAACUCAUGAGAGUGUUCUUCAUGAUCAAAGAGAGAGAGAGGAUAGUACAGGAAGCCAGAAAAAAAAGUCCCAGGGUUACCAUUGAUUACCAGGCUAUCAUCGACAGCAGAUUUGACUAGACCUGACUGGGACUUAAUAUGGCAGGAGGUAUCUUCAGCACCCGUCCUGGACAAAUGACACCAACGUGGGGCAUAAGAGGAGUUUCAAGUUUCCUCACAAGAAAAGUGAUAAAGUGUCUUCUGCCACCCAAGAGAUUUCACUAACGAAGGCGACUAGCUGUGGAGGAGUAAACAACCUAUGCAGUAAAAAAUUAACUCAUAAAAAACAUCGCUCCUCAGAUGAGCUUUCCAGUCACGUGCUGGGGACCGAACCCAGGGCCUUGUGCUUCCUAGUUCUCAGGAGAAGCAGGGACAGGACAUUCUUGAAAAUCCACAGAAUGUACUGACUGAUAGUCACCUGACCCUCUGGUCCCAGAUAGAGUUCGAAUGCAUGUCAUUGUCACGCCCACCUCGGCCGGCAAGGAAGACGCAACACAGUCGGAUUCUUCUCAACAGCCUUUAUUGCAGGACCACCUCUUUGCUGAUAUGGGGACCUUGAGCGGCAAAAACGCUCGCCUUAUAUACACAACAGGCUGUGGCUAUGCUAAUUGUCCUUCAGGGAUUGGCGGAGCACGAAUCACCCCACUAUCACCCCUGCUAUUUGUCCUCCAGGGAUUGGCGGAGAACGAAUCACCUCACUAGAAUGGUACCGUCCCGGCCAACUGACUCCAGGUGCAAAACCCGUGCAUGCGCAGUACCAUUGUUCACCACAGGAGGGCGCCCUACAUGUCAUGCUUGCUAGCCAAUAGAUUCAAAGGUCAAUAUGCUUAGCCAAUAAGUUUAAACUGUAACCUUGACCUGUACCCCUAAAAAAGUAUAAAAACUGCUUGUUAUAGCCAUUCGAGGUCACCUUCCAGUCACUCAGCCCCACGAGGAGCCUAAUUGAAGUCGACCCUGACGCGCUGGAAAAUAAACCUCUUGCAUUUGCAUCUAACUCUGUUCUUGUGUCUCACUUGGGGGGUCUCCCAGUACUUAAAACUCGAGCCUUACAAACAAAGAGUGAUUUAUUCUGCAGAAGCCCAGCAUGCUGGGGGUGGGGCGUCUCCCAUUACCAAGAUAGAGAGACCUCUAUGUGAGUUCACAAUUGAAAGCACAUUAGGGGAGUUCCAGGGUAGGUGGGCUCUUUCUUUAUCUCUAGUCAAGUGCAGUAGUGAGAAGGGGAAAGUAUAGAUCAGGACUUCAAUCUGUAACGGUGAACAAUCCAUUGAGAUAACGCACUACCUUUAGACCAGCCUGUCUGAUUCCUCAGCAGGAUGAGACAUCCCUGUGACUUGUUAUCUCUCACAAACAACAGCUUUCGAUUCACGGCUUCUGGCAAAUGUUUGGGAGAGGAAGGGCUCGGUUUUAUUUAAGGGGCAGGCCACUGAGAGUUUGACCGUGCUCUCCAGUGACUACAUCG